CCAAGGUGUAGCUCUCGGCCUUCGAGAAGAUCAAGCCUGUGGAAUGGGGGUAAGAGUAAAGUAAUAAUGAAACACUCAACCUGCAUCAUCAGCUUUGGGUUAGAUCUAUAGAGCUGCACCCACCAGGCAGAGAGACCACAACUCCAUUCUCCCUCUCAUCCCUCCUUUCUUUCUCCUAGUUAAAAUGCCUGUGUCUAAUGAGAGCAUCCUAGGCUGGGAACAAGAAUUCCCAGAAUGAACAGCACUGGAUGUUUUGGAAAGAAACCCUAACCUGGCUAGGUUUGGAGUAAUUAACAUGUCACACAAAAACACCAUCAGCUCAACUCUGAGGAUUGCUGUAUUCCAGAAUUCAUGAAGCCCUCACAAAUAAUUUUCCUUUUGGACCUGAGCUUGGAAGAAAUUAAAUUCUGGGGUCCCGAUGCUUAGCUCCCACUGAUGAGAAAUCAAAUCCAGAAAGCCAUCACUUCAGUUCAACAUGUCCUUCAGAUUUGAAGGUCCCAGAUCACCACAGUGGAAUGUGUCCUUCCCAGCAAGCCUGGGCCCUCAGAAAUCAUCUCAAAAAAGUGAACAAAA
rnacentral:lncRNA from 1 species